UUCACCACACCUCGCUUUAAGUAUUACUUGUAGCAAAAAGAAAAUAAAAAAGCAGCGUUAGAAUAUUUUAUUUCGCAGUUUAUUCAAAUGCUUUUGGAAUCUACCAGUUUGUAAUAACUGCAUGGAUAACUAGUAGAUAUGAUGCACUGACAACAUGAUUCUGUCUUUAUUUCAACUGACGUGUUUCUUGGCUCUCGGCCACUGCUGUGCCAAUCUAACAGUUCGACAAUUCCCCGAGUCUGUGCACUCGAAGGAGGGCGCGAGCGUCAACUUCAGCUGUACGGUUACUUAUAAUGUCACCACUGUCGAAAUGGUUACUGUGGAAUGGUACUUGGAACAGUCUCGAACAAUUUCAUAUGAACGCUAUGAUGAACCAGAAAGCCAGGGGUUUACCUCUGUCCUAUCUCUUCAUUCGGUCCAACGGAAUCAGAGUGGAAAAUAUUUUUGUAACGCGUCCGUACUUAUACCCUGCAUUGACCAGGGAAGUGGAAGUGGUACUAGUCUCACAGUAGAAGUUUUAACGUCUCCAGGUACCAUAAGUGAAUCCUCUUCUUCAGCCGUCGUUUGGACGUCACUAUUGGCUGCAGUUCUGGCAGUGGGAAUAGGCUGUGUGAUCUACAGCAAACGUAAAGGGAAUAAAAGAACCGCUUCGACAGGACAGGAAACCGAUUGCCCGACGCCAGUCACUACUGAGGUUUUUUAUGCAAAGGUCAACAUUAGGAAUUCCAGCACUCGUGACAGAAGCAACAGCGAUCACAGCGAAGCACAGUACUGUAACACGCCCCAAGUUGGAAAGAUGACACUGGAUUCAGGAUGCUUGAGACCUGCUGUUGCGGAUAAUGUUGUAUACAGUACAUUGAAUGUUCCAAAUCUUUCAAUCGGAGCUAGUAAUUUGCAUUGAGUCAUACAUAGAACAUUUACUAGAAUAUUUUUGGGGUAUUUUAGUUUUCUGUUAUUAUUCCUUCAACAGUAUACCAAAUAUUUUUAAUUCUCUGAUUCCAAACAAAUACAUUUCCAAAUAAAAUACAAAUAUGUGCUUUGCCAUCAGAUCUAGUUGUUUUUUUGCCAGCUACAUCCCAAAUUUCUGUCCUUCAGUUGUAAAUUGAAAAAUAAAAAUGAACAUUGAAAAAUAGCAUAAUAUUGUUUGUACAAUCUGUUUUUUUUCAUUUGUUUCUUCAGGUUUAUACCUCCUCAAAUUGUAGGGACAUUGCUACCACUAUGCGCGAUUGAAAUUGAUCUUCCACACA